CCUACGGGUGGCAGCAGUGGGGGAUAUUGCACAAUGGGGGAAACCCUGAUGCAGCGACGCCGCGUGUGGGAAGACGGUCCUCUGGAUUGUAAACCACUGUCCCCAGGGACGAAGAUGACGGUACCUGGGGAGGAAGCUCCGGCUAACUACGAGCCAGCAGCCGCGGUAAUACGUAGGGAGCAAGCGUUGUCCGGAAUUACUGGGUGUAAAGGGAGCGUAGGCGGGAUGGCAAGUUGAGUGUUAAAUCUACCGGCUAAACUGGGAGUCGCACUCAAAACUGCUAUUCUUGAGUGAAGUAGAGGCAGGCGGAAUUCCUAGUGUAGCGGUGAAAUGCGUAGAUAUUAGGUGGAACACCAGUGGCGAAGGCGGCCUGCUGGGCUUUUACUGACGCUGAGGCUCGAAAGUGUGGGGAGCAAACAGGAUUAGAUACCCUGGUAGUC
rnacentral:rRNA from 1 species